UCGUCAUCAAGCUCCAGAACUGCUCGGGUCUUUAUCAAAGAAUCCAACUUGAACCGAUUAUUCAGUGAGUUUUGUUUCUCUAAUCUGAUCCUAACUGGCACUGUGGAGUCAAAAUCUCUAACUUUAGGUGGUAUUCCUUUGUUCCACACCACAACAAUUUCUCGCACCGAGGAACAUCUGGAAUAAUGUUUAACAUACAUUUUCAAAUUCCAGAGACGAGCAUCAUAGGUCAUUGUUAAUAAGGUGAACUGCGAGUAGUGACCUUUCCAUUGGUAAGCUUCUUCUGCACCGCUACCACCAUAGAUACAUUUAACCCCUGUGCACAUAGCCGCAACUCCAAAUGCCAAAAUUAUAGCAAGAACCAGUCUUCCAGCACAGGUACUAGGUUUAAUCCUACCUCUGAGGAAUGAAACUCCUCUGUUCAAGCGGCUGCAAAACCGUCUCACUUUGGCUGAAAACAAAUGUGACCCUUCCCAGGCCAAGAACGCAUCACUCCGCUUCCCGGAGUUGUGAGUGUACCAAUUGAGAGGAAUCAUGCACUUCACAGCUCCAAGUAGUACACCCAGCAAUAUAAUGAGUACAGCAACAACGGCAACUGAAGCACUACCAAAAAUAAACCUCCGAACUGAAUCCCCAGAUGGUACCCGGUCUCCAUCCAUCACUCCAACCCACUCACCAGUAUUUAUUUGCUGCACAUCUAGAUGAUGAUGGCGAGCACCAUUCCAUGCAUUGCGACCCUUACUUGGCUCCAUCAAGCCCAAGGGAACUUCAACUUCUUUGUAAUCAUCUUUGGUAAGAACUUCCACCUUAAAGGUGCGCACUCUUCUCCCAUAUGUUUCACCACAGUCUUGACCAACACGAUAAAGAUUCCGUUGUAGAAAAAUGGUCUGCCUCCAUUUCGAGCCCCAAAGCUCUUGUCGCCAUUAUAUAUAGGAUUCUUCUUGUGUGGUUUCCAAGGACCAAGAGGGGAGCUGCUAUACCAGAUUUCCAAUUGUCCAUUCUUUGUGGUGACAAAUCCAGUGUUAUCUGAACUAAACAACCAAUACGCUCCAUUAUAAUUGAUUAUGAAAGAAUCAACAAGAGGCUUUUUCAUGAUCACUUUCUCCAGAGUCCAUUGCAAUGGAAAAUUGAGUGCUCGGUACAGACGAAGUUCCCCUUUCAUACUACUCUCAGGCAUCAUAUAUAUCUGUAAGAAACAAUAAGAAAGAAGUUAUACAACAGAUAUCAAAUUUACCCCAGAAAAUUAGGUGAUAGGUGCUUUUUUUUUUCUGCAGGCGAUAGGUUUUUUUUUUUUUUUCCUGCAAUCAAUGUGUUCCGUUAAGCUGCAACUUGGCCAAGAUGUGUCGAACAAUUGUUUAGAAAUAAUUUGUUACAGUUAUUUACUUUCAUUCACGCUGGUGAUGGGAUCUAUUGGGCCAGUGUGGACGUAAAAAGAAAUGCAUUCUUACUUGGCCAAGGUAGUUAAAGACAUAUGGGUAAGAGAGAUGCCACUCUUCAUCCAAGGCAGUGCCCAAUUGCUGCCAUGUUGCUCCCUUAUCAAUACUUUUUGAGACUCCAAUAUCCCCUUGCAAAGUGAUUGAAUUUUUGGUUUCGUAGAACAGGUAAAAAGUAUCUCCCUGAAACAAGAAGCAGAGAUGUUGAGUAGAAUGAACCAAGUAAUUCUAAAAACACUGCUAACAGUCCCAAAAGGUCCAUGAGCUGGGAGAAUCAUAGUACAGCUGAAUUUAAAAAAUAAAUGGUCGUACCCAGUACACAAGGCUCCCGCUUUACGCAGGGUCUGGGAGAGGUGAAUGUCGGCUAGCCUUACCCCCAUUUAUGGAGAGGCUGCUCCCAAGUCUCGAACCCGAGACCUACCGCUCAUGGGCGAAGGCACUUGCCAUCGCACCAGUGCGACCUCUUAAAUUUAAAAAAUAUAAAAUAUAAAAUAUAAGGGAUCAAACACAAACUAAUUACAAUGACAAAAUAUACUUGACAACUUAUAUUGGCUGUCCCUUUCAGGGCAACUACAUUCUAAGUAGACAACAAUAUCAUGACAAUUUUAGUAAGUGGUGGUCCCGGGCAAAGCACUGUCGGAAUACAAACAGGGUCUUAUAUUUGUCAAGUUACUGGAAUACCUAUAUCCAAUAUGAUCAGCACCCAGUAAAGUCAGGUGAUACCAAUAUCAAAACAAUCUAUUAAUAAAAUGACAAAAGGCAAGUCUUUUUCGCCACAAGAACGAUACAGCGAAGAAAAGGAACCCCAUGUUAGCAAGAAAGAGGGACUCUCUCGCUACCAUUUGGAUCCAUUUCAAAAUCAUGUUUUGCUAGAGAAAGAGGAAUCAACCAAACACACCCAUGAACAACCACAUCAACCACACCAUCAUGCACUUAAUGUCCACCACAUACCUCUCCUUACUACAAAUUGGCUACAUGACACCCACAGAUUGAUCACAGAGAUGACAAAGAAUAUCGGUGCUUUCAGAAGAUUGAAUCUGACAAGAAUUAUCAUUCUGCAUCAAGUGUGUAUGAGUUAGGAAGACAAAUGUUAACCUAACACUAGCUAGCAUCCAACAAUGGGGCGUUUGACCAAAAGCAGUAGUAUGUUCAAUAAAAUAGCAACUCAAGACAAGGAUACAUCUCAAAAUCUCUAUUUCUCAAUUUUUUCAUGUUAUAGCAUUCUACACAAAAGGCGUAAUCAGAGAAGUAUCAGUUUCCCAAAAAAUCAUUACCAUAUAGGAUAAACUUCCAAGGCUCCUCCUAUCAUAAGGGCCACAAAAACUUAAGGUCAUCAUUAGGCUUUUGAAGCAAAUAGGAUAAACUUCAAACACAAAACACAGAAACUUCUAGUAUAGAGAAUAACUACAGAAAAUUUAUGGCAUCCAUUAUGGUUAAUGUCUGAAGUGAAAAUACUCAUAAGAAUUAGAUUAUUGUAAGGUAAACAAAAUCAAUUGAAAAUGAUAAGGCACUAGAUCGAAACAUUCACUAGUUCACCGUCAUCAUCAUGUCCAUGCUUUCCAUAUUCAUAUAAGUUACCUACUGAAGCAUUAAUACAGGAUCAUUUUCUCAACCAAGAACCAAUAAAAAUAUUUUUCAAUUACUAUCAGCCACACAGUGUAAUGCUCCAGAACUCCCUAAUUCCAUAUUGACAAACAAAAUUAGAAGGCCUACAAUCAACUUUCAUCAGAACAGUGAGGUAAGGCAUAACUCAAAAUAAUCUGGAUUGCCACUGUCACAAUCAUGGGCUUCAGAGAUGUUAAUGCAAAAUACUCAAAUGAAUGCACAACCUAACAAUUCAAACUCUAUCAACAUCACUAAUGUCUUUACAAAACGAUAUCAUCUGCUCGCUUAAACUUGUUAUAACUGUUGCUACAAACAAGAGAAGAAAAAGUAUUGUUGAAACCUUACAACUUAAGUGUACCAAAUCCCGAUUCCAGCCCUCUAAAUCUGACCCAAGGAAAAUUGAUUAUAAUUUGUACCCUACCAUAUCCAUUUAAGCUCUAAGCCUGAAAUCAUUUAAUCUUCAAAGUUAUAUGAGAAACACUGCAUAAAUACACUGCAGUAACAAUUCACUCAAUGUGUAAAAUAUACAAGCUCAUGAAAUUUCGAGUUCUGGACAAUAUUGUACAGUAAUUUGAUCUUCGAAUUCUGCAUAUCAGUCCCAAACUGAAUUGACAUGCAAUCAAUCAUACAUUAGAACUGUUAAAAAAAAAAAACUAAAAUAUUUGAAGGGCAGAGCUAAUACCUGGACAUAAAGGAAAGGAUCAGCAACAAAAUUACUUGGGAAACCAGCAACAGAAACAGAAGAACAAGUCACAACAGGAUUCGCCACGGGCCAAGCUGCAGUUUUGUCCCUCCAUACAUCCAUCUGCACCAAAAUCCAACCCAGUUUCAAAAUUCAAAUCUCCAAAAAUUCAUAAUUUAACAAAUAUUUGAAAAAAAACAAAAACAAUAUCCAAACACGUCAAAAUCAAAAGAAGAUCAAUUCAUCAAGGCCAAUUCAAAUCUCCAAAAAUUCAUUAUUUAACAAAUAUUUAAUACUCAGGAAAAACCCACACUUCCAGCAAGGCCAAUUCAUCCCAAACAUGUCAAAAUCAAAAGAAGACCAAAUUGAAAAUUCCAAGCCAAACCCACAGAACCCCAAAAGCAAACUAAAAUUUAAAAAUAAAUAUACAGAAAAAUAUACACACCCCAUACAGUUAAAAAGAAAAAGAAGAAAUCUUACAGCUUCAAUGGGCUUGAGGGAAAAAGGAGAGUCUCCGAAGAAAAUACCAAGAGACCAUGAACCUUCAUUGUCCUCCUGACACCCAAGCAUGGAGGGAGAGGCCAACGCCGCCCGAGCAUAAUACGGCGGGAAGGCGAACCAGACAUAAACCGUGGCGACUGAUCCGAACAACACGAAGCACCCCAAGAAGAACACCAACCCCGACGACAUUAGAUACCUCCACCUGCACCUGCACUUCACGCUCAUGUUGCAGCAGGUGCCGCCGCUACUACCCCCACCAUUCGCACGACCACCACCCACAGCACCGCCGCCACCCGAGGCCGGACUCAAACCCAUUUUUUCCCAGAACGACACCGGACGCGAACGCAGGAUGGGGUGUCACCGCCGCAGGAAGAACGCCGUAACAACCGCCACCGGCAUUUGGGUUUGAUUAAUUGUCUGAUUAGUAAGCGCGUUUUUACGUGAUGAUUGGAAUUUAGACGUCCUGGGUUUUGGAAAAAUGAAAAAGGUGACGGGGCGGGACAGAGAUUUACUUUCGAGAAUUAAAUUUUUUUUUCCAGAAAUUUUUUGAGUUGGUGGUUUUAUACAGAAAGCGUUUUAGAGGACGACAAUGCGACAAUGUUUUCCAUGUUAUGAGAGAACAAGAGUCUGUUUAUAUAGAGCGGUCCGCCGAUCAAAUCCUUAUUAAAUUACUGUACUACUACUGAGUGAUCAUCGUAUAAAAUCCCACUUUACUCUUUUAAAUAAAAUAUAUUACAUGUUCGGGAAUUUUUAUUGAUAUUUUAAAAGCACUUUAAAUUUUUUAUAAUUAAAGAAAAAAACAUAUAUUUAUAAAAAAUUUAAAGUGAUAAUAACAAUUGCUAUUUGUUUUUGUUUAAUUCUUGCAGCAAAACAAAAACGUCUUUUUUUUUUAAUUAUGUUGGUGUUUCCAAAACAUACAGCUCUUUUGGAAGUUGGUUAAGCUCAAGUUUACAAGAAAACUUGUGUGGUGCUGGUGCUAAUCUACCACUUGACAAUGUUGAGUAACAUUAUCACGGCAGUCUUAUCAUGUUUUCUAAUUUUAUAUCAAAAUAACGUCAAAACUUGAAGCAUAAUUUUUGAAAAAAAUAUAAAACAAAAUAAAAACUAAAAUGGUAAACACAAAUCACAACCCCUCUCUGGUUUCGGGUUCCAUUGAAACUUCGAAGUUAAACAAGUUCGCGCUAGAGCAAUCUCAUAAUGAGUAACCCACUGGAAAGUUUUAGUCUGAGUUAUCAGAAACAAAACUGUGAUGGCGUGAUCAGGGCCCAAAACGAAAAAUAUCGUGUUAAAUUGGAGGGUAUCAGGCAGCUUAUGUUAUGGACCUAUUGAAUUGGAAGGUAUCAGUCAAUGAAAGGGAGUGGGAUAAGUGGAGAGAAGGUUUUUAUUAAGUGACCCUUCAAACAUACUCAUAUCAUUAAGAUAAUCAGUAAAAAUUGAAAAUUCAUAAUGCAAUUCAUGAAUAUAAGUGUCACAAAUUAAUGUAAGCUGACUUAAUAAUAUUUCAUCUUGUUGAGUCUCUGGAAUAUAUUUAUUCAUAUUUAUUAUUAGAAUAUUUAUUUUAUUGCGGAUUGUUGACAUAUAUCCAACAGAAAACCUAUAAAAACAUGUAUGACGUUCACGGAUGUCGGAUAUACUGGCAAGCUACAAACACCGUUCCGAGAAUUCAAAGGGGCAAUAGUAUUAUACAGAACAAAACUCUUAAGUCUGAUGUUUCAACAGUCCGAUAUUCUAUGUUCUCUUAGAGUAUAAGAUAUUCGAGUGUUUUAAUUAAAUUUUCGUUUAAAGAUAUAAAAUUAUAAUUUAAUGGUUAAAGCACGGGAUAUAUAUUUCAGAGCAUCAUUGAAUUUUUGUAAAGAAAUUAAGAAAGAAUUAAACAUAAGUAAGAUGAGUUUGUUUUAGAGCCAUUUUAUCCGUUUUUCUCUUAAUCGCACACGCAGCAGAGAGUUGGAAGCAAAGGAUGUGUGGAUGGUAUAGGGACUUCUGUAACACGGCAUGUGGUACAUGACAAUAUAUAGUAUUUUGAUGGCGACUAGGCAGUGCAAUACAAACUUUUGUUCCGCAGGACCUUGCGCUAUGGACCUAUUGAAUUGGAAGGUAUCAGUCAGCUUACGUUAUGGACCUAUUGAAUUGGAAGGUAUCAGUCAAUGAAAGGGAGUGGGAUAAGUGGAGAGAAGGUUUUUAUUAAGUGACCCUUCAAACAUACUCAUAUCAUUAAGAUAAUCAGUAAAAAUUGAAAAUUCAUAAUGCAAUUCAUGAAUAUAAGUGUCACAAAUUAAUGUAGUCUUUUCAUUACAAUUUUCAUCAAAAUUUAUGUUAGUUUGAUAAUGUAACAAAUAUGUGAAUCCACAAGUCUAUUAAAUAUUUCCAUAUGGAAAGAUUAAGAAGUUGAACAAUCUUUCGAGACUUAAUGAUAAGAAUCAUUCUUUUUGUGUGUAUUAUGUUGCCAUCGUUCUUUUGCCAUAUUUUUGUGGAUAUUGUGAAAUACAAUAUUCUAGCUAUAACAUUUGAUAAUAGUGGUUCAUAAAUUUUGUUAGUACCACGACAUAUUCAUAUACUUGAAAAGAUAUGAGGUAAGGUAUCGUUUGGUUUGUGGGACGGGAUGGAACGGAAUGGGACGAGGCGUUCUGUCCCACGUUUGGUGCGCCUAAAACGGGUGGAACACGCUGUUCCACAGGACGAGUUUUUGGUGAAUUUUCGUUCCACCUCACCCCCCUGGAACGACAUGUUCCACAUCCGUGGAACACAAAAUUAUAACAUCUCUGUCUCCUUCUUCUUCCUCCUUGUUUCCAUUCGAGGGCAUCUUUACUCCCUCUCCGUUCCGUCCUAUCCUGUCCCGUCCCGUCACGUCCCAUUUUGUUCCGUCCCAUCCCGUUUGCAUACCAAACGAUACCUAACUGCAUGAUGGGAUAAAACCCACAAUUUAAAUGAAUUUCUGUUUCAAGAAAAUUGCGGUACGCAAGCCUCGAUCUUUUGUUACUCUGCUUAAUUAAUAUUUCAUCUUGUUGAGUCUCUGGAAUAUAUUUAUUCAUAUUUAUUAUUAGAAUAUUUAUUUUAUUGCGGAUUGUUGACAUAUAUCCAACAGAAAACCUAUAAAAACAUGUAUGAUGUUCACGGAUGUCGGAUAUACUGGCAAGCUACAAACACCGUUCCGAGAAUUCAAAGGGGCAAUAGUAUUAUACAGAACAAAACUCUUAAGUCUGAUGUUUCAACAGUCCGAUAUUCUAUGUUCUCUUAGAGUAUAAGAUAUUCGAGUGUUUUAAUUAAAUUUUCGUUUAAAGAUAUAAAAUUAUAAUUUAAUGGUUAAAGCACGGGAUAUAUAUUUCAGAGCAUCAUUGAAUUUUUGUAAAGAAAUUAAGAAAGAAUUAAACAUAAGUAAGAUGAGUUUGUUUUAGAGCCAUUUUAUCCGUUUUUCUCUUAAUCGCACACACAGCAGAGAGUUGGAAGCAAAGGAUGUGUGAAUACGGAGGGGUAUAUAAUUUUACGGAUUUGGUAUAUUGGCGUCCAAAGAGCAAAUAUACCCGUCAAUUGGUGAUAGUACUAAGUACUAUAUACAUCGUUCCGCUAAGAUAAAUAUUUUACUUUCCAUUAAAUUGUCCAUGGAAGAGUUUUGGACCAACAAAACAUUCAGUUUCAUUCAUGAUUUGGUCGGACGGUUUCAUUUAUAUUUCGCAACUAUAUCACAACCAUGGUAGAUCAAUGCCAUCUAUAAAAAGACAAUAAUGCCCUUUUUAGGGCAAAAACUAUAAAGGUCAGCAUAGUUGAGAAUUUUCAUGCAACAGGAAUGACACUGUGAUGGUAUUUCAAGUUAAUUACAAACGUCGUAUCCAAAAAUCAACUUGAAAUACAUUCACAGUGGUUGAGUUUCUCUCCUAUCUUACACAACGUACACAAUUAUAGUAAUCAACCAUAUAACACAAUCAAGCACCAUUAUACAAUUUCCCUUGAUGCUACAUAUCCUCCACCCAAAUUUGUACACACUACUUAUCCGAUUAAACACAAAACAGUUCACCUUUUUCAUGAUUCAUUCCGGCAAUAUGCAAUCAAAGUACUUGGCAAAACAUCAUCUCUCAAACUAGUUCUACCCACAUGUAAAGCAGUAACGUCACAAUACAAACUUUUCCCCGCGGAGAGGCCAUGGGACGUCCAAAAUCAAGACGAUAAACACACAUACUAUAUCAAUUUCUAGCAAGACAUCAGUAAAACACAAAAACAAUGCACAUCUUACUAAUCAAAAUUCAAAUCUAUUGAUAACUAAAUUCCCCCACAAGAAAUUCACAAGGGAUGGGGAGGGGGAGGGGGAGGGGAAGGAGCAUACAAGGGAAUUACUAAAAGUUUACUAAAGGAUGAGACAAGGAUUAACAAAUUCAGGAGUUGUAAGCGACUAGCUACUAUACCUCCCUCACUAUACGUCCCAACCAUCCUUCCGCCCAUUGAAUUUCCACUUGCGCCUGGCCAAACUUCCGUACAUCUCAGAAAAUUUCAGGAGGCAGUUGCUCCUUAUAUGGUAGUGAACUUUGGUAUUUCGGCUUAUUGCAGCACCAGAUAAUUUUGAUGUAUCUAUUGCCCAUGCUGGCCUCACAUACUCCACAUUCUUGGAUUCACUAGCAUUUGCAUACAAGUAAUUCAGCAGCACGUCCUCGCAGUUGAAAUAUUUGUCCACCAAUUCCCUUGCUUGGCUAGCUUCUUUUCCCCAAUACCUCUUGAAAGCUACUUGACCAUCGAUGAAAGCUGCCCCCGUGAGAAUCAUGUUAUAUCCUUUAUGGGUCCGGGCAUAUUUCUCACCUCGAUACUUCAACGGGCUCCCAUCAAUUAAUCGGGGGUAGAAACCCACAAUACGGUCUGGGUGUUGACGCCAUAUUCUGAAUCCCCGCUCAACAUCAUUGCAAGUCAUCAUAAUGUCGUCAUCAAGCUCCAGAACUGCUCGGGUCUUUAUCAAAGAAUCCAACUUGAAGCGAUUAUUCAGUGAGUUUUGUUUCUCUAAUCUGAUCCUAACUGGCACUGUGGAGUCAAAAUCGCUAACUUUAGGUGGUAUUCCUUUGUUCCACACCACAACAAUUUCUCGCACCGAGGAACAUCUGGAAUAAUGUUUAACAUACAUUUUCAAAUUCCAGAGACGAGCAUCAUAGGUCAUUGUUAAUAAGGUGAACUGCGAGUAGUGACCUUUCCAUU
rnacentral:lncRNA from 1 species